rnacentral:lncRNA from 1 species
GAUCAUGAUCAACACCAUUCGCAGUGUAGACAUUAAUCUAGAAUUCUCAUCAAUUUGCUCUGGAAUUAACAGAUUCUAUGGAUCAUCACUUCUCAAACUGCAGUGAGCAUGGCACUCCUGGGGGACUUGCAAAAACACAAGGUCUCUACCUGGCCUUCUCCUCUGGGUGUCUAGGUGAGGCCCAGAUUUCUGCAGUUUAACAAGCUACCUGCGUCACUAAUGCUGCUGGACUGCGGACCACACUUUGAGAAGCAAGAGAAGAAGCCACAGCUUCCGUGUUGCAGGAGGCAGAUGCACUGCCUGACAAGCGACCCCUGCGGGGCCAUGGUGAGCCUCAGGGUGUGUACCUGCCGUGAGGGCCUGACAACUGCCCAGCUCCUCCUCGGACAUGAACGUGACAAUGGCCUUGGCUGGCACAUAGCAUCAGAAGGGAGCAGCUAGUGUGGCCCCAGCACUCAUGAGCACUAGCUUGUCCGAUUUCCAGGACACCCUUCAGUAGCACUGACCUCCUGGGUUCUAUGUUUGCUGGUUUGUCCUUUACAGAAUCUUAGGGCUCUCACCUGGCCUUGGGGUGGCCUCCCGCCAGGGCAGGCAAAGCAAGGUCUCAGGACAGGCUGGCAGCGGUGCCCCCUCCCUUCUAACCCCAGGAGAUGGGGUCUCUUCAGGCCCCCUGCACAUUCCUGUGCUCCUCCCCUUUCUCCUGCCGUGGAUUGAGCCGGGGUCCUGCCACUGAUUCCUACCAAGGUGACCUGAGUGACAACAGGGACUUCCAAGAGGAUGUCCCUUUGCCACAUUUUUUCUUCCUCUGCAGGACCAAGAGCAGUGGGUUCCCAGUGAUUGAGGUGCAACAUACAAACAACUGGGAAGUCUGAGUCACCUCUUCCAGGAGAGUUGGGCUGCUUGAGCAGUGCCCACCUGCUAGAUGACCCCUCUCUUGUGCUCCACCACUGAGACUUCAGAGGCCACCCAUUGGCCAAGCAAGGCGAGCAUGGCCAGCCCUGCACCUGCCCACGAUCAC